AUUGAACGCUGGCGGCAUGCCUUACACACGCAAGUCGAACGGCAGCACGGGUGCUUGCACCUGGUGGCGAGUGGCGAACGGGUGAGUAAUACAUCGGAACAUGUCCUGUAGUGGGGGAUAGCCCGGCGAAAGCCGGAUUAAUACCGCAUACGAUCUACGGAUGAAAGCGGGGGACCUUCGGGCCUCGCGCUAUAGGGUUGGCCGAUGGCUGAUUAGCUCGUUGGUGGGGUAAAGGCCUACCAAGGCGACGAUCAGUAGCUGGUCUGAGAGGACGACCAGCCACACUGGGACUGAGACACGGCCCAGACUCCUACGGGAGGCAGCAGUGGGGAAUUUUGGACAAUGGGCGAAAGCCUGAUCCAGCAAUGCCGCGUGUGUGAAGAAGGCCUUCGGGUUGUAAAGCACUUUUGUCCGGAAAGAAAUCCUUGGCCCUAAUACGGUCGGGGGAUGACGGUACCGGAAGAAUAAGCACCGGCUAACUACGUG
rnacentral:rRNA from 1 species